AGGCUGAUGACCGAUAUUUUCUUCUUCCUCAACUCCCAUCCACAUCGGUAGAACCCAAACACGCUCCGACAAAAACAUCGAAUACGAAAUGCCGGCGUAGAAGUACUGGCGAAGCUGAUGUAAUUGUAGCCCAUACCUUACAAUCACAACAAAAUACUCAACAAGAAUAAUAUCCACAUCAAACUUCAAUCAGGUCACCAAAAUUUGUUCCAUUGAAGCUGAAUACAAGCUAAUGAGGGUGGUAAUGAAGGAAACCUUAGAGGAGUGCCCACUAGGGAAAGACCAGUGGUCAACGGCGAAAGAGAAGAACAUGUUCUUGCUGUAAAUUGAGCGAGGGUGUUGGAUGAGGUGUUUGAGAAGGCCAAUGGAGAGAAGUGAGAGAAUGAUGGGGAAAAAGAGAUAGUCAUUGCCAAAGAACUUAAGGAAUUUGAGGGUCGGGAAAGGUAAGAAAGGAAUUUGAGGACCGAGAUCUUGAGGAAUUUGGG
rnacentral:lncRNA from 1 species